UGGGGAAUAUUGGACAAUGGGCGCAAGCCUGAUCCAGCCAUGCCGCGUGAGUGAUGAAGGCCUUAGGGUUGUAAAGCUCUUUUAUCCGGGACGAUAAUGACGGUACCGGAGGAAUAAGCCCCGGCUAACUUCGUGCCAGCAGCCGCGGUAAUACGAAGGGGGCUAGCGUUGCUCGGAAUCACUGGGCGUAAAGGGCGCGUAGGCGGUCUUUUAAGUCGGGGGUGAAAGCCUGUGGCUCAACCACAGAAUUGCCUUCGAUACUGGGAGACUUGAGUUCGGAAGAGGUUGGUGGAACUGCGAGUGUAGAGGUGAAAUUCGUAGAUAUUCGCAAGAACACCGGUGGCGAAGGCGGCCAACUGGUCCGACACUGACGCUGAGGCGCGAAAGCGUGGGGAGCAAACA
rnacentral:rRNA from 1 species